GACGAAGGAUCCAAGCGUUAUCCGGAUUCAUUGGGUUUAAAGGGUGCGUAGGCGGGUUUGUAAGUCAGUGGUGAAAUCCUAUCGCUUAACGAUGGAACUGCCAUUGAUACUGCGGACCUAGAAUAUAGAUGAUGUUGGCGGAAUAUGACAUGUAGCGGUGAAAUGCGUAGAUAUCUGGAGGAACACCGGUGGCGAAGGCGGCAUUCUGGACCAUAACUGACACUGAGAGACGAAAGCCAGGGGAGCAAACGGG
rnacentral:rRNA from 1 species